rnacentral:rRNA from 1 species
ACGGGAUGCCUUAAGGUAACNAGCGAGUGAAGCGGCAAAAGCUCAAAUUUGAAAUCUGGUACCUUCGGUGCCCGAGUUGUAAUUUGGAGAGGGCAACUUUGGGGCCGUUCCUUGUCUAUGUUCCUUGGAACAGGACGUCAUAGAGGGUGAGAAUCCCGUGUGGCGAGGAGUGCGGUUCUUUGUAAAGUGCCUUCGAAGAGUCGAGUUGUUUGGGAAUGCAGCUCUAAGUGGGUGGUAAAUUCCAUCUAAAGCUAAAUAUUGGCGAGAGACCGAUAGCGAACAAGUACAGUGAUGGAAAGAUGAAAAGAACUUUGAAAAGAGAGUGAAAAAGUACGUGAAAUUGUUGAAAGGGAAGGGCAUUUGAUCAGACAUGGUGUUUUGUGCCCUCUGCUCCUUGUGGGUAGGGGAAUCUCGCAUUUCACUGGGCCAGCAUCAGUUUUGGUGGCAGGAUAAAUCCAUAGGAAUGUAGCUUGCCUCGGUAAGUAUUAUAGCCUGUGGGAAUACUGCCAGCUGGGACUGAGGACUGCGACGUAAGUCAAGGAUGCUGGCAUAAUGGUUAUAUGCCGCCCGUCUUGAACCACGG